rnacentral:rRNA from 1 species
CAAUAGCGUAUAUUUAAGUUGUUGACAGUUAAAAAGCUCGUAGUUGGGAUUUCGGUUAAGAGCGACCGGUCCGCCGUUUGGUGUGCACUGGUUGGUUUUAACUUCCUGUAGAGGACGUGCUCUGGGCUUAACGGUCUGGACUCGGAGUCUACGUGGUUACUUUGAAAAAAUUAAGAGUGUUCAAAGCGGGCUUACGCUUGAAUAUUUCAGCAUGGAAUAACACUAUAGGACUCCUGUCCUAUUUCGUUGGUCUCGGGACGGGAGUAAUGAUUAAGAGGAACAGUUGGGGGCAGUUCGUAUUUCAUUGUCAGAGGUGAAAUUCUUGGAUUUAUGAAAGACGAACUUCUGCGAAAGCAUUUGCCAAGGAUGUUUUCAUUAAUCAAGAACGUAAAGUUAGGGGAUCGAAGAUG